GACGAACGCUGGCGGCGUGCUUAAUACAUGCAAGUCGAACGGAAAGGCCCUGUAUUUGUGGGGUGCUCGAGUGGCGAACGGGUGAGUAUCACGUGAGUAACCUGCCCUUGUCUUUGGGAUAACUUCAGGAAACUGGGGCGAAUACCGGAUAGGAGCUCUUUCAGCACGGUGGGUGUGGGAAAGAUUCGGUGUUUGGGGAUGGACUCGCGGCUCAGCAGCUUGUUGGUGAGGUAGUGGCUUACCAAGGCUUUGACGGGUAGCCGGACUGGGAGGGUGACCGGCCACAUUGGGACUGGGAUACGGCCCAGACGCCAACGGGAGGCAGCAGUGGGAAAUAUUGCACGAUGGGCGGAAGCAGGAUGGAGCGACUCCGCGUGCGGAAUGACGGUUUUCGGGUAGUAAACCGGUUGCGCCUGUAACGAAGCGUGAGUGACGGUAAUGAGUAAAGAAGCAACGGCUAACUACGUG
rnacentral:rRNA from 1 species